CAGCCCUCACCCUCACCUUCCUGCCUUUGGACUCUGGACUUCCUCCCGAGGAGGACGAGGAGGAGCAG
rnacentral:miRNA from 1 species